CAAGGAAACAAAGUUAGAGUCUUUUUUUUAUAUAUUUCAGUGGUGAUUCUGUGAAAUGGAAGCUUCGUGUGUACCUUUCUUUUUUUCAUCUUGGUGAUUCGGUUCUAGGGUUAAAUACUUAGCCUUUAAUAGUUCCUCUAGGUGAAUGUUUCUCCUUUGACAUUUUUCUGAAUCUUAUUCAACGGAUUUAAGUCCUACUACUUUUUGCUUUUUAUGCCUUCAUUGUUGUGUGGAUUCUUAUGUUUGAAUUAUUAUUGAUUUUGUUUGUAUGGUAUACAGAGGCUGGAGCUGGAGAAGAAAAGGUAGGCUUGUUUUUGUUGUUUUUCCUCAUAUUAGUACCUUAGCUAGGAUUGGUAUUUGUACAAGGUUCUGCUGGGUUUUAGAUGAAGAGUAUGAAUGUUAAAAGUCUGAAUCUUUCUACUUUUAAUUGGGGCUGAUUUGUGCAGUUUGUUAUGUUUCUUCUUUAGCAAUGUGUCUAUUGCAGUUGACAACUCGCUAAGCCCAUCUCACACCCUCAUUCAAGGGAGUGACAGAACAGACGGAACCUUCUCAAGGGACUUACUACUGAUGAAAAUACUGCUCCGCCAUGAAGUUGCUACUUUGGGGACUGUAAGUCCUUAAGUAUUGUGGUGAUACUGAGUUUCUCGAGAAACUGGAGAUGGUGAGGAUUAAUGGCUGCAAGAAAGGUGACUCUUCCAAUAUGAUAUUCCAAUAUGAUAAGAAGCCAAGUAGUCACCCUCGGUGUAUCAAGAUCUUGGUUUCGGACUAUAUACCAAGUGUUCCCAUCUGUUGGAGCUUGUUGAAGAAUAAUAAAUCCUCAAUUGCUGAUUUUGAUCGAAGUGACUCUUGGUUCCAAAUUCGUUUUGGUGGUCAUAGUCUUCUUUAGUCAUGGUUUGGUUCUAAGCGACUAUUGAUCGAUAAGGGGGGCUGUUUUAGCUGCCAUGAACUCCAACAAGUUUGUUCUUCUCUCUAUUUCUCCGCCUGUAAGAUGGCUGCAAGAUAGGAAGCCAAAAACACAUCUGCUUUGAAGUCCCAGAUUGAAUAGCUACAACAUGAGAGGGAUGGAUUUCAAAGGAUGGUGAUUGGAAACCAGUUACUAUACGAUGGUAUGAGUGUGGAGAUCUACUAGGACUGCUUCGGUUUCUUUAUUACUUGGUUUGGUGAAGAAAUGUACUUGCCUUCUUUUUCUUUAUGACUUGGUGAUUCAAGCAUUUGUAUCUUUUGGGUAUUUGAUAGAAUGAUUUUAUGUAAAAUGUAUGUUUUAUAAAUUUAAUGUAAUAUUAAUUUUAUUUAUGAA